rnacentral:rRNA from 1 species
GAUGAACGCUGGCGGCGUGCUUAACACAUGCAAGUCGAACGAAGCACUUGGGAAAGAUUCUUCGGAUGGAAGCCUUUGUGACUGAGUGGCGGACGGGUGAGUAACGCGUGGGUAACCUACCUCAUACAGGGGGAUAACAGUUGGAAACGACCGCUAAUACCGCAUAACCCGCUAGUAUCGCAUGAUACGGACGGAAAAGAUUUAUCGGUAUGAGAUGGACCCGCGUCUGAUUAGCCAGUUGGCAGGGUAACGGCCUACCAAAGCGACGAUCAGUAGCCGGCCUGAGAGGGUGAACGGCCACAUUGGGACUGAGACACGGCCCAAACUCCUACGGGAGGCAGCAGUGGGGAAUAUUGCACAAUGGGGGAAACCCUGAUGCAGCGACGCCGCGUGAGUGAGGAAGUAUUUCGGUAUGUAAAGCUCUAUCAGCAGGGAAGAAAAUGACGGUACCUGACUAAGAAGCCCCGGCUAACUACGUGCCAGCAGCCGCGGUAAUACGUAGGGGGCAAGCGUUAUCCGGAUU